rnacentral:rRNA from 1 species
CGGGUGGUAAUGCCGGAUGUUCCAGUUGAUCGCAUGGUCUUCUGGGAAAGCUUUCGCGGUAUGGGAUGGGGUCGCGUCCUAUCAGCUUGACGGCGGGGUAACGGCCCACCGUGGCUUCGACGGGUAGCCGGCCUGAGAGGGCGACCGGCCACAUUGGGACUGAGAUACGGCCCAGACUCCUACGGGAGGCAGCAGUGGGGAAUAUUGCACAAUGGGCGCAAGCCUGAUGCAGCGACGCCGCGUGAGGGAUGGAGGCCUUCGGGUUGUAAACCUCUUUUAUCGGGGAGCAAGCGAGAGUGAGUUUACCCGUUGAAUAAGCACCGGCUAACUACGUGCCAGCAGCCGCGGUAAUACGUAGGGUGCAAGCGUUAUCCGGAAUUAUUGGGCGUAAAGGGCUCGUAGGCGGUUCGUCGCGUCCGGUGUGAAAGUCCAUCGCUUAACGGUGGAUCCGCGCCGGGUACGGGCGGGCUUGAGUGCGGUAGGGGAGACUGGAAUUCCCGGUGUAACGGUGGAAUGUGUAGAUAU